GUCCGCGUAGCUCAGUUGGAUAGAGCGACCGCCUCCUAAGUGGUAGGUCGGAGGUUCGAAUCCUCUCGUGGACG
rnacentral:tRNA from 1 species